UAGGGAAUCUUCCGCAAUGGGCGAAAGCCUGACGGAGCAACGCCGCGUGAGUGAUGAAGGUCUUCGGAUCGUAAAACUCUGUUAUUAGGGAAGAAUAAAUGUGUAAGUAACUAUGCACGUCUUGACGGUACCUAAUCAGAAAGCCACGGCUAACUACGUGCCAGCAGCCGCGGUAAUACGUAGGGCGCAAGCGUUAUCCGGAAUUAUUGGGCGUAAAGAGCUUGUAGGCGGUUCGUCGCGUCUGGUGUGAAAGCCCAUCGCUUAACGGUGGGUUUGCGCCGGGUACGGGCGGGCUAGAGUGCAGUAGGGGAGACUGGAAUUCUCGGUGUAACGGUGGAAUGUGUAGAUAUCGGGAAGAACACCAAUGGCGAAGGCAGGUCUCUGGGCUGUUACUGACGCUGAGAAGCGAAAGCGUGGGGAGCGAACAGG
rnacentral:rRNA from 1 species